GGGCCGGCACUGUUUUCCCUGUCCCCGCUUGUUUCCUCUUCCCUUUUUCCCUGUGUAAGUUGUCUGUGUCUGUCUCCUCCUUCCGUACAGCCCAUUCAGAGGAUCUAGGUCAGGGGGCGUGGCCAUUCUCUCUCUGCUCUGUUACCUGCAGCUCAUUGUCAUCAAUCAACCAGCAGUUAUCUACCCGGGCUGGUCACCUCUCCAGCGCCAGUUCGUUCCUACACCACCUGUGAUCCCGUCUGUACCUGCUGCCUGCCUGCCUGCCACUCCCACGCCGCAACCUGCUCAUCAGUUUAUCCUCGUCAUCCGGCUCUCAGUGCAACUGGCUCUCCACCCCCACUCAGCUCCUACCCCGGUCUGAAGGUGCUCCACCCUGAACUGUUUCUCUCCGCCUAACGCGCUAAAAAAUAAACCUCGUAAUUCACCCUC